GGGUAAGUCUACUACGACCAGCUCCUUUUGAACUCCCCCAGGGUGGGAACGCAGCAAGGGUAGAAAGUUGUAGCGGUGCGAUAGGAGUAGCUUACCCACU
rnacentral:SRP_RNA from 1 species